rnacentral:other from 1 species
AGAUCCCUGCAGUGUUCGUGAUGGUCCGGAGGCUCGUUUGAGCCAACGCUAUAUUCAAGAGGGCCGCGACGCUACGUGGCGUGCACGCCUCCGUGCGAGGUAGCGCAAAGCGAAGCUGGUUGCUACAAGAGCGGCUCCACCUGCUUUGUUGGCAGGUUCAUUCGACCUCCCCACACGGCAAUGCGGGGUUUUA